AUGAUUAACGUUUGCUGGGUUCAUGAAGAGGAUGCCAGCAGCCACACCACAAUCUCUGAGUCUCCUCGAAGAGGGGAUGCAGAGCACAUCCUUUCUUCUCCAAAGAGCUACCCAAAAGACCCAAGAGUUGCACAUCUUCACCUUAUACAACUUGUACUGAGGAGGCACUGUACCCCAUCUGCCAUCAUUGCAGACCUCCACUGUUGUGAAACAGUCUGAAGUCAGCCCUGUUGAGGCACAGACCAAUAACACCCACUCAAAUCUUCUCUUCUUCCAAGGAAGUUCCAGAUGGGAAGGACCCAGAUUCUCUGAGGACUUUUCAUGCACAGAUUUUGCAUAGCAGUUCUGAAAGAUAAGGAGGAAUGACAAAAAAAGUGGGACUUCUCCUGAAGUGAUCAUUUACAGAUCACACUUUUUCAAGUGCACGGAAGGGAAGACAAGUUUCUUAUUUAAAUGAAGCGUGACUGCUAGUUUGAUUUGUAGUCAUUCACCCACCUGGACGCCUACCUGUGCGACGUGGUGCAGGUAACCUGCUUUGGCAGGGGGGUUGGACUUGAUGAUCUCUAGAGGUCCCUUCCAACCCCUACAAUUCUGUGACUCUGUGAUUCUGUAACGAAGUUGUAUUCUGUACUGUUUUCUUUCUCUUGCUUUUUUUUCCCCCACAAAUCUGCAUAAACAUAUAGAUUUUUGGCAGUUUUAAACUCUAUGUCUGGGCACUUCUUUGAGCUGUUAAUGAUGUAUGAGUUCUGCGCUUAUGUCUGGGAAUCCACGCAGUCAAAAAAAUUAUGCAAGUUUUAUCAAAUGUGUAAUUGGAAAUUAAAUACCGUUGGGCCGGUAUUUAAUCAAAAUCAGUGUUAAGCUGUAUUUACCCACUCGAAAAUUCUUUCUAUUCUUUCUUUCAGACUGUGUUGCAAAACAAAAAUGACAUUUAAAGGUCUUUCGCAAAUAGCUGUAUCCUUCUGUACAAUCAGAGGAGGGUUAAACUGCUCUGUUUCUUUGCUUUUGCUAUGGUCAAAUUUUCCAUUUUUGACUAGCAAAGACCAAUUUAGUUUAUGUAAUUGUUUAGAACUGCCUUGCUUAAUUGGUCUGCCUCUCUGACAACCAUUUAUCUACAGGGAUUAUGCUUGUUCUGCCACUAAACCUCCAUCUGUUUAUUGCUGAAUGUCCUGUACAAAGAUAGCUAACCUAAAGCAGUCAACUUAAAACAUGUUCUUAAAAAUAUUGCCUUCCAGUUCAUGUCAUGAACAUUUACAUAAGCCAUAAGUUUUGAAUGGGUUUGAUAAAGCUAAUUCCCAGGGCUAUAAAGUAUACAGGAAAGAUGUUAUGCAUUCAGAAACCAUUGUUCCAGCUUUUAAACUGAAAUGACAUCAGCUUGCAUACUGACACCUACACAAACAUCCCAGAUGCUGCUAUAUCACUCAUAAUUAUGACUACAUUUUUUUUUCCAGUGAUUUUGUUAUAGUAUGGUAAUUCACAUAUAUAGUAACAUAAACGUGAAGGUAAACUGAUUCCUAAAUAACACUUCAUUUAUCAAUAUACGUUUCUAAGUGGAUUUUGCAAUUGUAUUUACCAUUGCUAUCUAAAAGAUUUAGAGGUAGCUAGAGAUUUCUGGGAUUUAUUUUUCUGCUCUCAUAACAGCAUAGCAACAAUGAAUUCCACUCAGAAACAGCAAAGGCAACACAGUUGCCACACUGCUGUUUAAUCAUUGACCAUAUUGUUUAUCAGUGUUUUAUGAUACUUGAGCAUAUAAUAGCUGAAAAUACAUACUCUCUGCUACUCUUCUCUCUAGAGUAAGCAAGGAAUUAUAACAAUCCAUAAGGUUAGGAGCCUAAACCAUGAGAGCAGAACUGAGGGGAAAAUGUGAGCCAUUGCUUAUUUCAAUAUGAUGUUGCAAUUGGUUUUGCAAAUUUAGCCUGCUGAGGGGGACAAAAUAUCCUGACACUCAGAGUUGGCUCAGCAAGCCUCCUCCUAAGCUUUAAAAACAGAAAUAGUUUCAUAUAGGAUCUAUGGAAGUGCAAUGAAUUUAAGUUUAAAAUCAUUUUGAUGAUGUGAAAGCAAGCUGUCGAAAUAAUUGUUCUGACCCCCUCACUAUGGAAACAUUUGCCUUUGGUGCCUGUUCUAAUAAAAGAGAAUUGCCUCAUGCCGUUCCUUUGCCA
ensembl:lncRNA